GUGAGCGAUCCGGUGGAGAGAUCACUAGUGAGAAUGAUGACAUGAGUAGCGACAAAGGGAGUGAGAGACUCCCUCGCCGAAAGUCCAAGGGUUCCUGCUUAAAGCUAAUCUGAGCAGGGUAAGCCGACCCCUAAGGCGAGGCCGAAAGGCGUAGUCGAUGGGAACCAGGUUAAUAUUCCUGGGCCAGAUGGAAGUGACGGAUCUCGAGGGUAGUUCAUCCUUAUCGGAUUGAAUGGGCUGCUUAGAGGUCCCUGGAAAUAGCUCCAUCGCUAGAUCGUACCCUAAACCGACACAGGUGGAUAGGUAGAGAAUACCAAGGCGCUU
rnacentral:rRNA from 1 species